rnacentral:lncRNA from 1 species
CACCUCAGAAAUCCUGGUGGUUCUUCCUGAACACAUGAGAAAACGGGCUCCCUAUGCAUGCAUAGAAAAGUCAAGAUUUCUUGAGCUUGGGGUACAUGGUAAGAUCAACUUCCUGACCUUGUGAUAGAUCCUGCCAGUAACACGAGAGGAAACGAGAAUGAGGCUUUGGAGCACAACAUUGGAUUGCUCGUGCAGAACACUGCCCAGUGCCCUUUCCCUUUGCCAUAAUGAACAGCCGUGCUGCAGGUGAUGGCUGCUCUGUCAACGUGGAUCCUGCAGGGCAGAUAACAUGGCAUGGAUCCCCCAGCAGACCAUGAGAAAGCAAACAAAAAGUCCAUACGUGUUGUGCUAAUCCACUGAGAUUGUGUUGGUUGUUAUGGAGCCUAACCUAACCUAUCCAGACACGAGGAUCAGACAUGAGAAUCAAAUGUGUUUAUAAAGAGUUGGAUGGAAAUACUCUGACAGCAUUAAAAGACUCUCCCCAAGAAAGGAAUUCACAUCUCUUUAAUUAUCAAGCUUGGGAGUGGUAUACCUCCUCAUCAACUAGAACAGUCUGAGAUAGCUUCCUGCAACAUCUGUAGCCCUUGUUCCUGCUGAAGGGUGUGUUCCUGAUGUUGCCACCACUGAAAUGAGUGAGAUGAACAAGCUCCAGCUGCAAUUCUGUGAUUCAGAACAGCCUAGGUGGGCUUUCUACAUGGCGACUUCCAUUAACCCUCAGGCCCAGAAUUUAAUGUUUGCUUGUAUGAUCUUGCCUGUUUAGAGAGUUCUGAGAGUGUG